rnacentral:rRNA from 1 species
GACGAACGCUGGCGGCGUGCUUAACACAUGCAAGUCGAACGGUAAGGCCCUUCGGGGUACACGAGUGGCGAACGGGUGAGUAACACGUGGGUGAUCUGCCCUGCACUUCGGGAUAAGCCUGGGAAACUGGGUCUAAUACCGGAUAGGACCCUGGGAUGCAUGUACUGGGGUGGAAAGCUUUUGCGGUGUGGGAUGGGCCCGCGGCCUAUCAGCUUGUUGGUGGGGUGAUGGCCUACCAAGGCGACGACGGGUAGCCGGCCUGUGAGGGUGACCGGCCACACUGGGACUGAGAUACGGCCCAGGCUCCUACGGGAGGCAGCAGUGGGGAAUAUUGCACAAUGGGCGCAAGCCUGAUGCAGCGACGCCGCGUGAGGGAUGACGGCCUUCGGGUUGUAAACCUCUUUCAGCACCGACGAAGCGCAAGUGACGGUAGGUGCAGAAGAAGGACCGGCCAACUACGUGCCAGCCGCCGCAGUAA